UACGUAGGUGGCAAGCGUUAUCCGGAAUUAUUGGGCGUAAAGAGCUCGUAGGCGGUUUGUCGCGUCUGCUGUGAAAUCCCGAGGCUCAACCUCGGGCCUGCAGUGGGUACGGGCAGACUGGAGUGCGGUAGGGGAGAAUGGAAUUCCUGGUGUAGCGGUGAAAUGCGCAGAUAUCAGGAGGAACACCGGUGGCGAAGGCGGGUCUCUGGGCAACAACUGACGCUGAGGAGCGAAAGCGUGGGGAGCGAACAGG
rnacentral:rRNA from 1 species